rnacentral:lncRNA from 1 species
GUAGUUAAUCCAUCAGAAGCACCAUCUCGUGGCACUGACCAUACAUUGUUAGCAACCAAGAGCUAAACAAACACCACACAAAAUAGAAGGCCAAUGCUGAUCAUAGUACCAACAGCGGCUGGUCUUUCGCAAGCACCACAUUAAAGUUUUCUGGGGUCGGUGUAACGGAACAUCGCAUUGCAAGCAAUACGGCACGACAAAAGGGACGAUGGACCUAGGAAGAAGCUUCACCAUCUAACACAUGUCGAGACGUCCAUUCGCUAGACCGUCAAUGCGAGAGCACAUCUAACCAACACACCGUGGUCCUGCAAUAACACAAGUUCAAGUAAGAGCCAAAUCGUGUACAACACAGGAGGUAGCCGACGAUAUAAAAGGUACCUAGCUGACACACCAAAAUAAUGAUCCACCUAGGGCCGUUUGGACUACAGCUUGGCCCUUUUAGUCGCAGACGUCUCAUCUUCAUCCUCCGCCAGGCUUUCAGUUGAUUUGCUUCAAGAACAAAUAACAAUUAUGUACAAGAAGUAGAAAAAUGAUGCAUAUAUUGUUAAAUACUCGUAUCAACCUACACCCAGAUACCUCAACGUAGCAGCAAGCUCACCACCGAGACCAGCA